rnacentral:lncRNA from 1 species
AUAACCAAGAGAAUAUGAACUUUUUUUGUUUGGUUCAGAUAUAAAUAAGAGCUGUUUAUUUCAAAAAUAGAUGUAAGUUCAGAUAUAAAUCCGAAAUAGAUCAAUUUUGAAUUUGAAUGAAAAUUGAGUUAUUUUCGAGAAUAAAAAACAACGUUUAGAUAAAUAAGAUGGAAUAAAAAGAAUAGUCGGUAGUUAUAAAUAGAAAAUAAUAAUAUU